UGUAAAAUAAGCUAAAUAUUAAGCUGUUGGGUUCAUACCCCAAAAAUGAGAUUUUUCUCUUUUACAA
rnacentral:tRNA from 1 species